UGGUUCUGGCAUCGAUGAAGAACGCAGCGAAAUGCGAUAAGUAAUGUGAAUUGCAGAAUUCAGUGAAUCAUCGAAUCUUUGAACGCAUAUUGCGCCCUUUGGCAUUCCGAGGGGCAUGCCUGUUCGAGCGUCAUUACACCACUCAAGCCCGGCUUGGUAUUGGGCGACGGGGUCACCCCCGCGCCCCAAUUUCGCCGGCUGGAACGACCCAAAUCUCAGCGUUGUGGCAUACGAAUUCGCUGGCGAGGGCGGCGGUCCGGCCGUUAAACUUCUAUCAAGGUUGACCUCGGAUCAGGUAGGGAUACCCGCUGA
rnacentral:misc_RNA from 1 species